rnacentral:lncRNA from 1 species
AAGGUUAGCUUCCCCGGCUGACUACCUCACACGAGCACAGCACAGUGAGGUCAAAGCUCCCUGACCAUGAGCCUGCCUCCCUCCCACGUGUCCUGCCUGGGCAGGCCCUGCAGACUCCGGCUCGGUUCAGGGUUUCGUAACCUCCUCCUCCGGCUGCUUGCAAACCCUGCCAACCCGCGGUGAGAGGUGGCUUCUGGCGUGCCGCGGGGGCCACACGGUCCUGGCGCGGUGGCUCCGCCACUGGGGUCCACCCACACCGCCCUGCAGAAACCUGAAGGUCCUCAGGCGGCUUCGGCGCCACAGGCGGAGCUUCUCCUACGCCCCUUGCUGACGCGUCGCCGCGCGGGCCGCGGUGCAGAGACGCACCCGCUGCAUUCAGGCCACCCUCUCGGUGACAAGUGGCCCCUAAUCAUCACUAGGUCUUUGUUUGGAUUUUAAUUCCACUCCGCGAAGACAGCGGAAAGCAGCGCGUCUGGCGCUGGUGAGGAGAGGAGCAAGGAAGCCGCACGGGCCGGGAAGGGAACCGCACGGCGGGGUCAGCAGCGAGGCCGCCCUGGCCGCCUCCAGUGCACAGGUGCGCGGGCCACGGGCACAGCCACCAGGGGACGCGGGAAGGAAGCACGAGCCGGGUUAAUUGGACACGGUUGAUCAGUGAAAGGAGAAUAGCCUGGAGUGAAGGGACAGGAUCCCUUAAUAGAGUAAAAUGUUUCCCAUCAAGCCUCCCCGGAGCAGCUCUAAGCAGACUCUGCCGCACCGGCCGGGGACAGAUGCAGGUGACGAAGGCCACGGAGUAAACAGGAAACGAGAAUGCGCUCGACCAGAGGCCGGGCUGUCGUCGUGGGAGAAGAAUCACUUCCUCAAUUUAUCUCGCGGCGCGUGAGUCGAAACAGGAGGAAGGAGAAGGCAUCACACCUUGUUUCCCCUUUUCUGGCCAAAACACCUCCCUCCGUUUAUGACACUCUCAAAACUUCAUCUCACCCACCUGUGUCUGAGCUACAGCGACGAGGGUGACAGGGCUCCGCGGGACCCACAGGUGUGGGUGCUUUGAGUCCCCAGCCAGCCCAGGAUGUGACCCCAACCUGUUAAACCCCUAAGAAAACAGAAAAAAAAACACCCUUACUGCAUGGAAAACUAAACUUGUCAGGUAAGCUGCUAUGAAUAUCUAACAGGAGUUCUCAUUAAAUAAAAAGAUAAUAGAAUUUUUCGUGGAUUAUGUG